rnacentral:tRNA from 1 species
GGAGGGUAUAGCUCAGUGGUAGAGCACAUGCCUAGCAUGCAUGAGGUCCUGGGUUCAAUCCCCAGUACCUCCA